CCUACGGGUGGCAGCAGUAGGGAAUCUUUCACAAUGGGCGAAAGCCUGAUGGAGCAACGCCGCGUGCAGGAUGAAGGCCUUCGGGUUGUAAACUGCUUUUAUAAGCGGGAAAUAUGAUGGUAACUUAUGAAUAAGGAUCGGCUAACUACGUGCCAGCAGCGGCGGUCAUACGUAGGAUCCGAGCAUUAUCCGGAGUGACUGGGUGUAAAGAGUUGCGUAGGUGGCAUAAUAAGUAGCUAGUGAAAUCUGGUGGCUCAACCAUUCAGACUAUUAGCUAAACUGUUAAUCUCGAGACCGUUAGAGGUAACUGGAAUUCGUAGUGUAGGAGUGAAAUCCGUAGAUAUUAGAAGGAACACCGAUAGCGUAGGCAGGUUGCUGGGACGGUUCUGACACUAAGGCACGAAAGCGUAGGGAGCAAACGGGAUUAGAUACCCUUGUAGUC
rnacentral:rRNA from 1 species